UCAAUUCUCAACCAUGCCCCCGCGGCAUGGCUUGGACUUGGGAGUUGCUGGCGUCGCGAGACGUCGGCUCUCCUCAAACGCAUUAGCGGACCAGCGUGUUCCAGACGUGCACGGCCUCGUUCGACGUGAUAACGAUCGUCGUCGGGCUGGAGCGUCCGGACAAGCCUCUGCUUCCAACCAACCCCGACCCCUCAGCUACUAGCCCCCCGUGGGCGAACGCGGGCGGCGUCGACGAUCGAC
rnacentral:misc_RNA from 1 species